rnacentral:misc_RNA from 1 species
UUUCCGUAGGUGAACCUGCGGAAGGAUCAUUAUUGUAUAAUCGAGGUGCGAGGGCUGUCGCUGACCCGAAAGGUCGUGCACGCCCGAGUGCCCUCACACACAUCCCUCUCACCCCUAUGUGCACCACCGCGUGGGUCCCCCUUUGGCUUGUUCGGAGGGGGGCUUACGUUUUCACUCAAUCUUUGUAUGCAGUGUAGAAUGUAUUUUUUGUUUUUGCGAUCACGCAAUCAAUACAACUUUCAACAACGGAUCUCUUGGCUCUC